rnacentral:rRNA from 1 species
GACGAACGCUGGCGGCGUGCUUAACACAUGCAAGUCGAACGGAAAGGCCCUGCUUGCAGGGUACUCGAGUGGCGAACGGGUGAGUAACACGUGGGUGAUCUGCCCUGCACUUCGGGAUAAGCCUGGUAAACUGGGUCUAAUACCGGAUAGGAGCCAUUUUUAGUGUGAUGGUUGGAAAGUUUUUUCGGUGUAGGAUGAGCUCGCGGCCUAUCAGCUUGUUGGUGGGGUAAUGGCCUACCAAGGCGGCGACGGGUAGCCGGCCUGAGAGGGUGGACGGCCACAUUGGGACUGAGAGACGGCCCAGACUCCUACGGGAGGAAGAAGUGGGGAAUAUUGCACAAUGGGAGCAAGCCUGAUGCAGCGAAGCCGCGGGGGGGAUGACGGCCUUCGGGUUGUAAACUCCUUUCGCUAGGGACGAAGCUUUUUGUGACGGUACCUAGAUAAGAAGCACCGGCUAACUACGUG